rnacentral:rRNA from 1 species
CUUGCUUGGUGGAUCCGUGGCGAACGGGUGAGUAACACGUGAGCAACCUGCCCUGGACUCUGGGAUAAGCGCUGGAAACGGCGUCUAAUACUGGAUAUGAGCUCUCAUCGCAUGGUGGGGGUUGGAAAGACUUUUUCGGUUUGGGAUGGGCUCGCGGCCUAUCAGCUUGUUGGUGAGGUAAUGGCUCACCAAGGCGUCGACGGGUAGCCGGCCUGAGAGGGUGACCGGCCACACUGGGACUGAGACACGGCCCAGACUCCUACGGGAGGCAGCAGUGGGGAAUAUUGCACAAUGGGCGCAAGCCUGAUGCAGCAACGCCGCGUGAGGGAUGACGGCCUUCGGGUUGUAAACCUCUUUUGGUAGGGAAGAAGCCUUCGGGUGACGGUACCUGCAGAAAAAGCGCCGGCUAACUACGUGCCAGCAGCCGCGGUAAUACGUAGGGCGCAAGCGUUAUCCGGAAUUAUUGGGCGUAAAGAGCUCGUAGGCGGUCUGUCGCGUCUGCUGUGAAAUUCCGAGGCUCAACCUCGGGCUUGCAGUGGGUACGGGCAGACUAGAGUGCGGUAGGGGAGAUUGGAAUUCCUGGUGUAGCGGUGGAAUGCGCAGAUAUCACGAGGAACACCGAUGGCGAACGCAGAUCUCUGGGCCGUUACUGACGCUGAGGAGCGAAAGGGUGGGGAGCAAACACGCUUAGAUACCGUGGUAGUCCACCCCGUACACGUUGGGAACUAGUUGUGG